rnacentral:rRNA from 1 species
UGGGGAAUAUUGCACAAUGGAGGGAACUCUGAUGCAGCGACGCCGCGUGAACGAAGAAGGCUUUCGAGUCGUAAAGUUCUUUUAUAUGGGAAGAUAAUGACGGUACCAUAAGAAAAAGCUCCGGCUAACUACGUGCCAGCAGCCGCGGUAAUACGUAGGGGGCUAGCGUUGUCCGGAAUCACUGGGCGUAAAGGGUUCGCAGGCGGAAAUGCAAGUCAGGUGUAAAAGGCAGUAGCUUAACUGCUGUAAGCAUUUGAAACUGCAUAUCUUGAGAAGAGUAGAGGUAAGUGGAAUUUUUAGUGUAGCGGUGAAAUGCGUAGAUAUUAAAAAGAAUACCGGUGGCGAAGGCGGCUUACUGGGGUCAUUCUGACGCUGAGGAACGAAAGCGUGGGUAGCAAACAGG